AUACGUAGGGGGCGAGCGUUGUCCGGAAUGACUGGGCGUAAAGGGCGCGUAGACGGCUUUUUAAGUCUGGAGUGAAAGUCCUGCUUUCAAGGUGGGAAUUGCUUUGGAGACUGGAAAGCUUGAGUGCGGAAGAGGUAAGUGGAAUUCCCAGUGUAGCGGUGAAAUGCGUAGAGAUUGGGAAGAACACCAGUGGCGAAGGCGACUUACUGGGCCGUAACUGACGUUGAUGCGCGAAAGCGUGGGGAGC
rnacentral:rRNA from 1 species